UACGUAGGGGGCGAGCGUUACCCGGAUUUACUGGGCGUAAAGCGCACGUAGGCGGCGCGUUAAGUCGGGUGUGAAAGCCCCGGGCUCAACCCGGGAAGUGCAUUCGAAACUGGCGCGCUUGGGUAUGGAAGAGGGUCUCGGAAUUCCCGGUGUAGAGGUGAAAUUCGUAGAUAUCGGGAGGAACACCAGUGGCGAAGGUGGAGACCUGGGCCAAUACUGACGCUGAGGUGCGAAAGCGUGGGGAGCAAACAGG
rnacentral:rRNA from 1 species